AGUGGUGGUGGUUUCUUUUUGGCGCACUUGUUAAGUUUUCAAGUGGGCUUGACUCUGCUACAUACAUGACACUGGAGCUGGCGAGGCUUGUGAUGGAGGGGUCUCUCAAACCUCUCUGCACCACAUGGGCUCCCACACGU
rnacentral:snoRNA from 1 species